CCUACGGGGGGCUGCAGUGGGGAAUAUUGCACAAUGGGCGCAAGCCUGAUGCAGCCAUGCCGCGUGUGUGAAGAAGGCCUUCGGGUUGUAAAGCACUUUCAGCGGGGAGGAAGGCGGUGAGGUUAAUAACCUCAUCGAUUGACGUUACCCGCAGAAGAAGCACCGGCUAACUCCGUGCCAGCAGCCGCGGUAAUACGGAGGGUGCAAGCGUUAAUCGGAAUUACUGGGCGUAAAGCGCACGCAGGCGGUCUGUCAAGUCGGAUGUGAAAUCCCCGGGCUCAACCUGGGAACUGCAUUCGAAACUGGCAGGCUAGAGUCUUGUAGAGGGGGGUAGAAUUCCAGGUGUAGCGGUGAAAUGCGUAGAGAUCUGGAGGAAUACCGGUGGCGAAGGCGGCCCCCUGGACAAAGACUGACGCUCAGGUGCGAAAGCGUGGGGGGCGAACAGGAUUAGAUACCCCUGUAGUC
rnacentral:rRNA from 1 species